UUUACGGGUACCCUAGAGACAAGAAGAGCAAGAAUGGGAAGCUGAGGCUCUUGUAUGAGUGUGCACCGAUGAGCUUCAUUGUGGAACAAGCUGGAAGAAAAUGAUCAGACGGCCAUCAAAGAGUACUUGACAUUCAACCAACUGAGAUACAUCAGCGUGUUCCGCUCUACAUUGGAAGUCAGGAAGAAGUGGAGAAAUUGGAGAAGUAUUUAGCUUAACCGAAAUGUAAAACAAGGAGUAAUUUUGUUCAUGAAGAUAAUUCUUUCAUGGAAGUUUCUCAAGAAAUA